rnacentral:rRNA from 1 species
CCUACGGGAGGCAGCAGUAGGGAAUCUUGCGCAAUGGGCGAAAGCCUGACGCAGCGACGCCGCGUGUGGGAUGACGGCCUUCGGGUUGUAAACCACUUUCAGCAGGGACGAAGCCUCACGGUGACGGUACCUGCAGAAGAAGGUCCGGCCAACUACGUGCCAGCAGCCGCGGUAAUACGUAGGGACCAAGCGUUGUCCGGAUUUAUUGGGCGUAAAGAGCUCGUAGGCGGCCCUUCGCGUCGGAUGUGAAAGCUCAGGGCUCAACCCUGAGAGGCCAUUCGAUACGGGAGGGCUAGAGGUAGGUAGGGGAAAGUGGAAUUCCUGGUGUAGCGGUGAAAUGCGCAGAUAUCAGGAGGAACACCGGUGGCGAAGGCGGCUUUCUGGGCCUUACCUGACGCUGAGGAGCGAAAGCUGGGGGAGCGAACAGGAUUAGAUACCCUGGUAGUCCCAGCCGUAAACGUUGGGUGCUAGGUGUGGGGAGGUCUUCAACCCUCUCUGUGCCGAAGCUAACGCAUUAAGCACCCCGCCUGGGGAGUACGGCCGCAAGGCUAAAACUCAAAGGAAUUGACGGGGGCCCGCACAAGCGGCGGAGCAUGUGGCUUAAUUCGAUGCAACGCGAAGAACCUUACCUAGGCUUGACAUGCUAGUUAAAGCGGGUGAAAGCCCGUGUCCGUAAGGGGCUAGCACAGGUGCUGCAUGGCUGUCGUCAGCUCGUGCCGUGAGGUGUUGGCUUAAGUGCCGCAACGAGCGCAACCCCUGCCCUUAGUUGCCAGCGGGUAAUGCCGGGGACUCUAAGGGGACUGCCGGGGACAACUCGGAGGAAUGUGGGGAUGACGUCAAGUCAGCAUGGCCCUUAUGCCUAGGGCUGCACACAUGCUACAUUGCGCGCACAGAGGGCUGCGAUCCCGCAAGGGGGAGCGAAUCCCAAAAAGCGCGCUGGUUCGGAUUGGGGUCUGCAACUCGACCCAUGAAGUCGAGUCGCUAGUAAUCGCAGAUCAGCACGCCGCGGUGAAUACGUUCCCGGG